rnacentral:rRNA from 1 species
UACAGAGGUCUCAAGCGUUGUUCGGAUUCAUUGGGCGUAAAGGGUGUGUAGGUGGCGCCGUAAGUCGGGUGUGAAAUUUCGGAGCUUAACUCCGAAACUGCAUUCGAUACUGCGGUGCUUGAGGACUGGAGAGGAGACUGGAAUUCAUGGUGUAGCGGUGAAAUGCGCAGAUAUCGGGAAGAACACCCGUGGCGAAGGCGGUUCUCUGGGACGGUACUGACGCUGAGACGCGAAAGCGUGGGGAGCGAACAGG